rnacentral:rRNA from 1 species
UACGUAGGUGGCAAGCGUUGUCCGGAUUUACUGGGCGUAAAGAGCGCGCAGGCGGUCGUUCAAGUCGCGUGUGAAAGCCCCCGGCUCAACUGGGGAGGGUCACGCGAUACUGAUCGACUCGAAGGCAGGAGAGGGUAGUGGAAUUCCCGGUGUAGUGGUGAAAUGCGUAGAUAUCGGGAGGAACACCAGUGGCGAAGGCGGAUCUCUGGGCAGUUCCUGACACUGAGGCACGAAGGCCAGGGGAGCAAACGGG